UGAGUUGCGAACGGGUGAGUAACGCGUAGGUAACCUGCCUGGUAGCGGGGGAUAACUAUUGGAAACGAUAGCUAAUACCGCAUAAUAUUAAUUAUUGCAUGAUAAUUAAUUGAAAGGUGCAAUUGCACCACUACCAGAUGGACCUGCGUUGUAUUAGCUAGUAGGUGAGGUAACGGCUCACCUAGGCGACGAUACAUAGCCGACCUGAGAGGGUGAUCGGCCACACUGGGACUGAGACACGGCCCAG
rnacentral:rRNA from 1 species